ACGCUCGACACCUACGGGAGGCAGCAGGUGGGGGAUAUUGCACAAUGGGGGAAACCCUGAUGCAGCAACGCCGCGUGAAGGAAGAAGGUCUUCGGAUUGUAAACUUCUGUCCUCAGGGAAGAUAAUGACGGUACCUGAGGAGGAAGCUCCGGCUAACUACGUGCCAGCAGCCACGGUAAUCUGAGCGGGCUGGCAAGGC
rnacentral:rRNA from 1 species